UAUUUACAUUUAUUUUACAUUUACAUUUAUUUACAUUUACAUUUUUAUUUACAUUUUUACACUAUAUAGAAGAGCGAAAAGUUUUAUGGUAUGUGAGACUUUUCUUCUUCAGCCAAUAUUCCAUCUUCUUCCUUCUUAACUGAAAACAAUGAAAAUUCUGUUCCAACUAAUUUUUUUCAAAAUUAAAACUACAUGUCCAGUCAUAGUAAAUUAAACAUGCAAAUUCUUUGAAGAUUGGUGUUCAGUUUUGUUGUCAUUCUUGCUGAUAUUAAAAGAAAAAGUUGACAUCUGAUGCUAAAAAAGAAUCAAAAAUUAGUUCCAGAUAUUAAUUUUUUCUGUCUAAAUCAAACUCAAUUACUUGGAUCUUCUCCUGCCACUUCCAUUUACUCAUGAUUUCCAGGAUCUUCCAAAAAAGUUAUGAAGGUCAUGCGUGACAAUAAUGAAUGACAUACAAAAGUGCUCAACAUCAGUGAGCAUUAAAUGAUUUUGCACAAAAAUAAGCAACAUUUUGCUUCCAAGUUGUGUAUAAAAUAUUCUAUCCUGAUGGUAUAUAUGUACCAAAAUAAGAUCCAGCUCUUCAUUUUCUUAUUUAAAAUUUGGCAACAUAAUGUGAUUGUAGAUUGAAGAGAAAAAAAAGAAAAGAAAUAAGUUCAUAGAUUUAUACAUUUAGAAGAGUUUCCUGUAACUUUACUUGACUUUUGGAUAUCUCUUUGAGAGUGCACUGAUCAAAAAUGAUGUAUUUUUCUUUGUGAAAUUUACUUUACUUGAUUCAGUUGUGAUC